CAAAGGUUUGGGAGCCUUCAUUUAGUUUUUCAGAGUUUUUCCACCGUCUUGACUGAGUUGUGAUCAAAUCAAGUUUUUAUGCAGAUUAGUCCCAAUGAAAUCUGAAACCAAGUAGCUCUUCAAGACAUUGCGUUGGAGACAAAGUGAAUGUUCUUUUCGAGCCUCUGUUUUUUGGUGAUGCUUUGGAAGAAUUGUUGAAGUUUUCAGCUUCCAACUGCUUCUUUAUUUCCAUUGGAAUAUCAAACUUUGAUCAUCAAUGUGGGAAUUCAACUGAGUCGACUUGCCUGUUAUAGGAUGCGGGUAGCAACAGACCGGUGCUCUUAUUAACCUCAGAACUUUCUACAUUGUGGGAAUUCCAACUAUUGUUCUCUUGGCUCUCGUCUUCCAUUUUGGAGGAAAGCAUGUCUGAACAAUAUGACAAUGCUGGAGCAAGUUCUAGCUUGAGCCUGAAUAGCAGCCUACAAGAUACGGAGGAUGACAGGAUUAUUGCCAAUAUCCUAUAAGAGGAACAUGUCAGAGAGGAUAUGAGACUUGGGAAGCAUCUAUCUCAUUUAGAUUCCAUCCUGGUAAGACCCAAGCUCAUACUUUCUUGUAAUGUUUCACAUACGCCUAUUUAAUGAAUUGCCCACUCUUACCUACUUCUUCUUCUUCUUCUUCUUCUUCUUCUUUUUAAAUGUCCCUUUGUGUGAGAAAGCUUUCGCUGUGACUUGUGAGUGGUUGUAAACAAGAGAAUGCCUGAAAAGUUUAUUUAUGCUUAGAAAAAUGAUGGUUAGAACAAGAA